GAUGAACGCUGGCGGCGUGCCUAAUACAUGCAAGUCGAGCGAACAGACGAGGAGCUUGCUCCUCUGACGUUGGCGGCGGACGGGUGAGUAACACGUGGAUAACCUACCUAUAAGACUGGGAUAACUUCGGGAAACCGGAGCUAAUACCGGAUAAUAUAUUGAACCGCAUGGUUCAAUAGUGAAAGACGGUUUUGCUAUCACUUAUAGAUGGAUCCGCGCCGCAUUAGCUAGUUGGUAAGGUAACGGCUUACCAAGGCAACGAUGCGUAGCCGACCUGAGAGGGUGAUCGGCCACACUGGAACUGAGACACGGUCCAGACUCCUACGGGAGGCAGCAGUAGGGAAUCUUCCGCAAUGGGCGAAAGCUUGACGGAGCAACGCCGCGUGAGUGAUGAAGGUCUUCGGAUCGUAAAACUCUGUUAUUAGGGAAGAACAAAUGUGUAAGUAACUAUGCACGUCUUGACGGUACCUAAUCAGAAAGCCACGGCUAACUACGUG
rnacentral:rRNA from 1 species